GAUGAACGCUGGCGGCGUGCUUAACACAUGCAAGUCGAACGGUGAAGCAGGAGCUUGCUCUUGUGGAUCAGUGGCGAACGGGUGAGUAACACGUGAGCAACCUGCCCCUGACUCUGGGAUAAGCGCUGGAAACGGCGUCUAAUACUGGAUAUGUGAUGUGACCGCAUGGUCUGCAUCUGGAAAGAAUUUCGGUUGGGGAUGGGCUCGCGGCCGAUCAGCUUGUUGGUGAGGUCAUGGCGCACCAAGGCGUCGACGGGUAGCCGGCUUGAGAGGGUGCCCGGCCACACUGGGACUGAGCCACGGCCCAGACUCCUACGGGAGUCAGCGUUUGGGACUAUUGCACAAUGGGCGGACGCCUGAUGCAGCAACGCCGCGUGAGGGAUGACGGCCUUCGCGUUGUAAACCUCUUUUAGCAGGGAAGAAGCGAAAGUGACGGUACCUGCAGAAAAAGCACCGGCUAACGACGUGCCAGCAGCCGCCGUAA
rnacentral:rRNA from 1 species